AUUGAACGCUGGCGGCAGGCUUAACACAUGCAAGUCGAGCGGGGGAAGGUAGCUUGCUACCGGACCUAGCGGCGGACGGGUGAGUAAUGCUUAGGAAUCUGCCUAUUAGUGGGGGACAACAUCUCGAAAGGGAUGCUAAUACCGCAUACGUCCUACGGGAGAAAGCAGGGGAUCUUCGGACCUUGCGCUAAUAGAUGAGCCUAAGUCGGAUUAGCUAGUUGGUGGGGUAAAGGCCUACCAAGGCGACGAUCUGUAGCGGGUCUGAGAGGAUGAUCCGGCACACUGGGACUGAGACACGGCCCAGACUCCUACGGGAGGCAGCAGUGGGGAAUAUUGGACAAUGGGGGGAACCCUGAUCUAGCCAUGCCGCGUGUGUGAAGAAGGCCUUAUGGUUGUAAAGCACUUUAAACGAGGAGGAGGCUACUUUAGUUAAUACCUAGAGAUAGUGGACGUUACUCGCAGAAUAAGCACCGGCUAACUCUGUGCCAGCCGCCGCCGUAA
rnacentral:rRNA from 1 species